UUGUCCGUGGACAUACCCAAUCUCGUCUGCCCUUGGAAGCUGAGCAGAUUCAGGCCUGGUUAGCACUCAGAUGGGAGACAAUCAUGGUGAUGAGGUACAAA
ensembl:rRNA 5S_rRNA 5S ribosomal RNA